rnacentral:lncRNA from 1 species
AUGCUUAGUUUUAGAAGUUUCAUAGUUUCAAGAUUUACAUUUAGGUCAGUGUUUCAUUUUGAAUUAAAUUUUGUAUAUGGUAUGAGGUAUAGAUUCAAGUAUUUUCUACUUUCUUUUCUGGACUCUGUAUUUUCUUCCAUUGGAGGAUGUGUCUAUCUCGAUGCCAAUUUGUUAGGUAACAGCUCGGUGGCCUCGCCCGCCGGCUCGCGAGCUUCCUCCACCCGUGCGGAGCGGGAUGGGACGGAGGGAGGUAGACAUCCGGUGGCCCGUCACUCCGCGCAGGGACAGGGUCUGCCCGGCGGCCGGCGGUCGGGUCCAGUGGUCUUUCCGGUAGGGGAAGGAGAGCGAGAAUAUGGGGGGCGGCGUGAAAAGGGUCUUUGGGCGGGAAGGCGGCUCCUCGCCUUCCGCUCCCCACCCCCGUCGCCCCCUCGGCCUCCCGGCUACAUACCUCGAGGCUGGGGGGCCGAGGUUCCUCCUGCUACGCACCUUUGGCCACGACUGCCCCAGGUCGCGACGGCACAGUCCGGAGCCUCCGAAGGACCAGCAACCAGUGAGACCUUUGCAGAACAUUCCAUUGUUGAAGAUAUGUGCCAGGUGCUGGUUCUAUGAGAGAUGCAACAAAGUGUGUGUGAGCCAUGGAGUAUCACAGACACAGAUCUCUCUCUCUCUGGAUAUUAGAAGAGAUUCAUAAUAGUGAUUUGUUUCAUCAUACCUUGGAACCCCGUAAGUACCAUGAUCUUAAUCAUCUUAUUUCUGACAUCCACACUCACUUCUAUACAUGUGUUGUUUUCUUUAUAAAUUUGUAUUUCAAGUGCUAUAAAUUUUAAGGGCUGUUAUAGAAUUUUGGAAAAAGCUAAUGGACUUUAGCAAAAUUAAUUGUAUCUGAGUGAUAGAAUGGACUUUAAAACUAGGACAAACACAAAAUCCAGCAAAGAUUUGCAAAGUAGUAAUGUUUUGCAUCCAAGUCAAUAAUGUAGCUGAUCUCUAGCUCUAGAAAGGACUGGAGAGCACCCAAGGGUUUGGCAUGUUUUUGGUGGUGAAAGUUGGGGUAAGGCUCUUAGGUUUUAUUCACUAUGUGGCUCAUGAAAGCUGAAAGAUAAGCAUGGUGCUGGAAGGGAAAAAGGCUCAUUGCUGAUAUGAAGAGGAAGAUAUCAUUUUAAUAGUUGAUUUGUUUACUGACAUUCUCAGAAUUAAAUAUCUGUACUUAGGAAAUCUUGUUUUUUCCCUAUUUGUAUAUUUACUAUAUUUGUUUUCAUGUUAAUUUAAUUUUUAUAUCUUCAUGGCCUUUAGUAAAACUCUUGAGAUCUCCUGGAGACGGGAAUGGCAACUCACUUCAGUAUUCUUGCCUUGUUAACCCCAUGGAUGGAGGAGCAUAGUGGACUACAGUCCAUGGGAUUGCAAAGAGUUGGACACAGCUGCACAACUAAGACUUGAUCUACACUUAUCUUUAUCUUGAAUAAUAAUAGGCCAUCCUGCUCAGCUCUCCAAAAUGGAUUCUUGUCUGAACUUAGACUAAUGUUUUCAUGAUGGAGUCUGGUACUAAUGAUGGUAAGAACCAGAAUGAGAGACCCUUGUUGGGAAAUUAAAACAAGAAAGAUGGAGUUUGGGACUGACAGUUGAGCCCACCUUUUCAUCAUGGGAAUUCUCUAGGGUCUCUUGCCUUGAAAUUCAGGGACAUAUCCAUUUUUUUUUUUAAAGGAAGGCCAUUCCUUACUUGUGGUAAGAUGUUCUUGGACUAGAAGCCCAAGUUAUCUCCUACACUAAGCUCCAAUCUGCACAGAAAAGCCCAGGUUAGACCUUUGGACCAGGGAUCUGAACAUACUCCACUUAGUCAUUUAUCACACAAUUGUUGGUUGAGUGCCAGGUACUGUUCUAGGUCCAAGGGAAAAUGAGACAAGCAGUUCCUGUCUUCACAGACAAUAGUAAGUAAUUUUACUUUGACCUGCUGCUGCUGUUAAGUCACUUCAGUUGUGUCCAACUCUGUGCAACCCUAUAGACGGCAGCCCACCAGGCUCCCCUGUCCCUGGGAUUCUCCAGGCAAGAACACUGGAGUGGGUUGCCAUUUCCUUCUCCAAUGCAUGAAAGUGAAAAGUGAAAGUGAAGUUGCUCUUCAGUCAUGUUGCACUUCAGUCAUGUCCGACCCUCAGCGACCCCAUGGACUGCAGCCUUCCAGGCUCUUCUGUCCAUGGGAUUUUCCAGGCAAGAGUACUGGAGUGGGGUGCCAUUGCCUUCUCUGUACUUUGACCUACAUAUCCUCAUUUCAGAGGGACUGGCAAAGAAACACCCAAGGUACCUUUGAGUAAGAAUAGCACCACUAACACCCUGCUAGGGAGUCCUGACAUUCUCUAUUAGGCACUUAGUUUAGCAGAUAUUUAUCAAGUGUUACUUCUGUGCUAGGACCUGUGCUAAGAACUAGAGAUCCAGAUGAAUAAGUCCCUUGAGAGUUAUCAGUUUUACCCCUAUUAAAACCUAUGUGUUAUGUGGAAUGGAGACUAUGUUUACUAUCAAUUUAGAGCAUUUCAACAUGAAUCAGGUAAUUAGAUCCUGGCUAAUGUUAGGCUCUGAUCAAAUGAUGCAUAAGAUAAGGUUAAGUUACUUUAUUAGCUGUGUGUAUAUGGCAGGGGAAUGGAGUAGGGGUCAGGGAAGAUGGCACAGUUCUAAAACUGGCAGGCUUCCUGUCAAACUCAGAAGAGGGAAUAGCUUUUAAAAGUAUUAUCUCUGUGUAUUUCUUUUGCAAUACCCAGUGCAAAUGAAAACGCAAGGCUCCUUGUUCAAAAAGCAGGAAAAAGUGACAUUAAAGGUACAAAAAAUGUAAAAUUUUUCCCCUUUAAAAAUAUUUUAUUACUUAUAAAAUGUUGUUCAGCUGCUAAGUCAUGUCUGAUUCUUUGUGACCCCAUGGACUGCAGCAUGCCAGGCUUCCCUGUCCUUCACUGUCUCUUGGUGAAGUGAGGUGAAGUCGCUCAGUUGUGUCCGACUCUUUGCGACCCCGUGGACUGUAACCUACUAGGCUUCUCCAUCCAUGGGAUUCUCCAGGCAAGAAUACUGGAGUGGAUUGCCAUUUCCUUCUCCAGGGGAUCUUCCCGACCCAGGGAUCGAACCCGGGUCUCCCGCAUUGGAGGCAGACACUUUAACCUCUGAGCCACCAGGGAAGUGUCUCCUAGAGUUUGUUCAAAUUCAUGUCCAUUGAGUUGGUGACGCCAUCCAACCAUCUCGUCCUCUGUACUCCCUUCUCCUCUUGUCCUCAGUCUAAAAGGAGUCAUAGUGAUGUGUAAGAAUAUAACCUUAUAAAAUGCAAAGAAUAAUACUUUUGUUAUAAUUUUAUAAAUAUAUAAAUGAUAUUAUUAAUGUAAUGUCUUGCUGGGUCAGAAGACGUCUGUUUCACUUUUCUUCUAGUUCAUUUGCUAUCAAGUUUAUAGUAAGUCUAUUUUCAAUUUAGAUAGCUGAAAGGACCAUCAGCUGCUCUUGGCAAAUGCAAGAUCCCAAAUAUGUUUUGAUAUUUUUUUAAUUUUGAGAAAGGAUACAACUCUUACUGUUAAGAGUAUUUUAUAGGCUGUGACAACAUGGGGAUAAGAUUGUAUUACAUUUUUUUCCACAUAUAAAUUUUAGUGCAUCUAGAGCUGAUGAUUCUCAUGGAACAUGUUUUAAAAAAGAUUUAACUCUUCAUUACAAUAGGUGAGAAAGAGAUAGAAUGUUGUGUUUAGAAAACUUGUGUUCAACUCCUGACUCCUCUCUUACUGAGUGAAGUGAAGUCACUCAGUCGUGUCCGACUCUUUGCGACCUGAGGGACUGUAGCCUAUCAGGCUCCUCCGUCCAUGGGAUUUUCAAGGCAAGAGUGCUGGAGUGGAUUGCCAUUUCCUUCUCCAGGGGAUCUCCCCAACUCAGGAAUAGAACCCGGGUCUCCCGCAUUGUAGGCAGACGCUUUGCCAAAAAUCACUUGAACUCUGUGACCCUAUGUUUCCUUAUAUGUAAAAUGGGAAUAAUUUAAAAUUACACAACUCUUUUUUGUAUUAAUGAAUACUUCUUGAGAACCUACUCUGUAUCUGUCACUGUUUUAGGUGCUGGAUAUACAAGAGUAGUUCCUUUACAGAACUUCAUUCUUAUAAGGAAACACACAGAAUGAACAAAAUAUUUGAGAAAAUAUUUACUAUAUCAUAGAGGGUAAGCGCAGGUGGCUGCAACCGGCUGGCGCACUAAGCACUGGCGGGCGGGGCCCACCCGGGCCCUAAGGCCCGCCCGGGGGGGGGAACCCCCCGCCGCAGGCGGGGGGGGGAUUGCCAGGCUGUGACGGUGCAGGAAUGGCGGAGAGGAGCUACCCCACGUCCGAGGUCAGGGGUGGCAGCCAGGAGGAGCCACCCCGCGUCCAAGGCCAGAGGCGGCGCCCCCGAGGAGCCACCCCGUGUCCGAGGUCAGGGGCGGUGGCCAGGAGGAGCAACCCCACGUCCAAGGAGUGGUGGCUGCCUGGGCGCAGGAGGGCCUAGUGGAGCCAUCCCACAUUGAAGGUCAGGAAGGGCGGCAGUGAGGAGACACCCCUCAUCCAAGGUAAGGAGCAGCAGCUGCGCUUU